rnacentral:rRNA from 1 species
UACGGAGGGGGCUAGCGUUGUUCGGAAUUACUGGGCGUAAAGCGCACGUAGGCGGCUUUGUAAGUUAGAGGUGAAAGCCCGGGGCUCAACUCCGGAAUUGCCUUUAAGACUGCAUCGCUAGAAUUGUGGAGAGGUAAGUGGAAUUCCGAGUGCAGAGGUGAAAUUCGUAGAUAUUCGGAAGAACACCAGUGGCGAAGGCGACUUACUGGACACAUAUUGACGCUGAGGUGCGAAAGCGUGGGGAGCAAACAGG